AGCGAGCAUGUCGUACGCGCAGCCUCGGGGUUGCUCCCUUCCUCUGGCCCAGCCGUCACCCAACAGACCGAGUGUGCCUGUCUGACUGUGCCCUGCCUGGUGGGGGGGGGCACGGGCAUCCCCUCUGAGCUGAUGUUGGGUGAAGGAAUGCAUGAUGGGCAUGGUGACAGCACCCAGGAGCUGACCGCCCCCAUCAGAGCAGCAGCCUCCCACUCCCAUUUCUUGGGAAGACCUGCACACCCAGCGGCCUCUGGAGGAUGCCAGAGGGUGGGGGAAAGUCAACUGGUCACAACAACAGCCCCGGAGGGACACGACGGUGGCAGGGGCCUGACUUCACCAAGAACCCUCCCCUCAGGGGCCCUGUGGACAGAGAAUGUUGCCCACCAUCAAGACUUCUGCCACUGCAGCGCCGCCCCCCUUCCCCACAGUGGUGCGCUGUGAGGGGAUUCAGGAUGGAGAAAAACCAGAUACUGGCCCCAGACAGCUGAAGUGCGUAUCAAAGGAAUGAUUUCAGUGAGCCCGGACAGCAUCUAGCAUCUUCCCAUACACAGAAAAGCACUGCAAUCAUUAACUAGAGAUGUCAGCUUUUGAUUAGCAGGAACCUUUUGAUGUUUGACUCUAUGGUUUUGUUUUUUUCAGCAAAAACUCCGAGGAACAGUUUCCUCAGAGCUAUAUGAGAGGCA